rnacentral:rRNA from 1 species
CAAUAGCGUAUAUUUAAGUUGUUGCAGUUAAAAAGCUCGUAGUUGGAUUUCUGGUGGGAGCGAUCGGUCUGGCGCUUAGCGCGAGUACUUGCAUCGUCUCCGGCCAUCCUUGGGGAGAGUCUGUCUGGCAUUAGGUUGUCGGGCAGAGGAUCCUCAUCGUUUACUGUGAAAAAAUUAGAGUGUUCAAAGCAGGCUUAUGCCGUUGAAUAUAUUAGCAUGGAAUAAUAAGAUAGGACUUUGGUACUAUUUUGUUGGUUUGCGCACCAAAGUAAUGAUUAAUAGGGACAGUUGGGGGUAUUCGUAUUCCGUUGUCAGAGGUGAAAUUCUUGGAUUUACGGAAGACGAACUACUGCGAAAGCAUUUACCAAGGAUGUUUUCAUUAA